GUGGGGAAUAUUGGGCAAUGGGCGCAAGCCUGACCCAGCAACGCCGCGUGAGGGAAGAAGGUCUUCGGAUUGUAAACCUCUGUCCUUGGGGACGAAAAAAAUGACGGUACCCAAGGAGGAAGCUCCGGCUAACUACGUGCCAGCAGCCGCGGUAAUACGUAGGGAGCGAGCGUUGUCCGGAAUUACUGGGCGUAAAGGGUGCGUAGGCGGCAUGGCAAGUCAGAUGUGAAAUCCCCGGGCUUAACUCGGGGGGUGCAUUUGAAACUGCUGUGCUUGAGUGCAGGAGAGGAAAGCGGAAUUCCUAGUGUAGCGGUGAAAUGCGUAGAUAUUAGGAGGAACACCAGUGGCGAAGGCGGCUUUCUGGACUGUAACUGACGCUGAGGCACGAAAGCGUGGGGAGCAAACAGGAUUAGAUACCCUAGUAGUCC
rnacentral:rRNA from 1 species